rnacentral:rRNA from 1 species
GACGAACGCUGGCGGCGUGCUUAACACAUGCAAGUCGAGCGGUAAGGCCCUUUCGGGGGUACACGAGCGGCGAACGGGUGAGUAACACGUGGGUGACCUGCCCUCAGCUCUGGGAUAAGCCUGGGAAACCGGGUCUAAUACUGGAUAUGACUCCAUGACGCAUGUUGUGGGGUGGAAAGCCUUGUGCGGCUGAGGAUGGGCCCGCGGCCUAUCAACUUGUUGGUGGGGUGGAUGGCCUACCAAGGCGGACGACGGGUAGCCGGCCUGAGAGGGCGACCGGCCACAUUGGGACUGAGACACGGCCCAGACUCCUACGGGAGGGCAGCAGUGGGGAAGUCUUGCGCAAUGGGCGAAAGCCUGACGCAGCGACGCCGCGUGAGGGAUGACGGCCUGUGU